GAUGAACGCUGGCGGCGUGCCUAAUACAUGCAAGUCGAGCGAACGGACGAGAAGCUUGCUUCUCUGAUGUUAGCGGCGGACGGGUGAGUAACACGUGGAUAACCUACCUAUAAGACUGGGAUAACUUCGGGAAACCGGAGCUAAUACCGUAUGAUAUUUUGAACCGCAUUGUUCAAAAGUGAAAUACGGUCUUGCUGUCACUUAUAGAUGGAUCCGCGCUGCAUUAGCUAGUUGGUAAGGUAACGGCUUACCAAGGCAAGGAGGCAUAGCCGACCUGAGAGCGUGCUCGGCGACACGGGAAGUGAGACGCGGUACAGAAUCGGAGGGGAGGCAGCAGCAGGGACUCUAGCGAAAGGGGCGGAAGCGUGAAGGAGCAACGGAGCGUGAGUGAUGAAGGGCUUCGGAUCGUAAAACGCUGUUAUUAGGGAAGAACAUAUGUGUAAGUAACGGUGCACAUCUUGAGGGUACCGAAGAAGAAGGACCCGGCUAACUACGU
rnacentral:rRNA from 1 species